rnacentral:rRNA from 1 species
UACGGAGGGUGCAAGCGUUAUCCGGAUUCACUGGGUUUAAAGGGUGCGUAGGUGGGUUUGUAAGUCAGUGGUGAAAUCUCCAAGCUUAACUUGGAAACUGCCGUUGAUACUAUAAAUCUUGAAUGUUGUGGAGGUGAGCGGAAUAUGUCAUGUAGCGGUGAAAUGCUUAGAUAUGACAUAGAACACCAAUUGCGAAGGCAGCUCGCUACACGAAUAUUGACUCUGAGGCACGAAAGCGUGGGGAUCAAACAGG